rnacentral:rRNA from 1 species
GAGAAACGGCUACCACAUCCAAGGAAGGCAGCAGGCGCGCAAAUUACCCACUCCCGGAACGGGGAGGUAGUGACGAAAAAUAACAAUACGGGACUCUUUUGAGACCCCGUAAUUGGAAUGAGUACACUCUAAAUCCUUUAACGAUUAUCAAUUGGAGGGCAAGCCAAGUGCCAGCAGCCGCGGUAACACUUGCUCCAAUAGCGUAUAUUAAAGUUGUUGCGGUUAAAAAGCUCGUAGUUGGAUCUCAGUUCUAGUCGGGCGGUCCGCCUACCGGCGGUCACUGCCCGUUCUGAACAAGCCAGCCGGUUUCCCUUGAUGAUCUUCACCGGUUGUCUCGGGUGACCGGCAAGUUUACUUUGAAUAAAUUAGAGUGCUCAAAGCAGGCGCGACGCCUGAACAAUGGUGCAUGGAAUAAUGGAAUAGGACCUCGGUUCUAUUUUGUUGGUUUUCGGAACACGAGGUAAUGAUUAAGAGGGACAGACGGGGGCAUUCGUAUUGCGACGCUAGAGGUGAAAUUCUUGGACCGUCGCAAGACGAACUACUGCGAAAGCAUUUGCCAAGAAUGUUUCCAUUAAUCAAGAACGAAAGUUAGAGGUUCGAAGGCGAUCAGAUACCGCCCUAGUUCUAACCAUAAACGAUGCCAGCCAGCGAUCCGGCUGUGUUCCUCAAAUGACACGCCGGGCAGCUUCCGGGAAACCAAAGCUUUUGGGUUCCGGGGGAAGUAUGGUUGCAAAGCUGAAACUUAAAGGAAUUGACGGAGGGCUACCACCAGUAGUGGAGCUUGCGGUUCAAUUUGACUCAACGCAGCGAACUCUACCAGGCCAGGACACAAGUAGGAUUGACAGAUUAAGAGCUCUUUCUUGAUUUUGUGGGUGGUGGUGCAUGGCCGCUC